rnacentral:rRNA from 1 species
UUACGGCCACAUCACGAUUAAAUACUGUUCUCAUACGAUAACCGAAAUUAAGCAACGUUGUGCCAGUUCAGAACCUACAUGGGUGACCGCUUGGGAAUAUCCGGUGCUGUAA